AACGAACGCUGGCGGCAUGCCUAACACAUGCAAGUCGAACGAGACCUUCGGGUCUAGUUGCGCAGGUGUGCUUACGGCGGGGGAAGCUGCCCGUAGGUUAGGAGUAACUCCCCGAAAGGGGUGUUAAGACCAGAUGAGGUAUUAGGACCAAAGAUUUAUCGCGUUUGGAUGGGCGUGCGUUAGUUUAGGUGGUUGGGAGGGUAAUAGCCUACUAAGGGGUGGUUCCAGAGGUGGUGAGAGAGGAUGAUCAGCCAGACUGGGACAGAGACACGACCCAGAUUCCGACGGGAGGAGGCAGUAGUGAAUCUUGGACAAUGGGCGCAUGACUGAUCAAGCCAUGCCGCGUGAGUGAUGCAGGCCUUAGGGAUGUCACUUUCUCUUACCAGGGAUGAUAAUGAACGUACAGGGAGAAUAAGCCACGGCUAACCUCGUG
rnacentral:rRNA from 1 species